UACAGAGGUGGCAAGCGUUGUUCAGAAUUACUGGGCGUAAAGGGCGCGUAGGCGGUCUUGUAAGUCUCGUGUGAAAUCCCUCGGCUUAACUGAGGAACUGCACGGGAUACUGCAUGACUUGAGAUCGGGAGAGGGAAGCGGAAUUCCGGGUGUAGCGGUGAAAUGCGUAGAUAUCCGGAGGAACACCGGUGGCGAAGGCGGCUUCCUGGACCGACACUGACGCUGAGGCGCGAAAGCUAGGGGAGCAAACGGG
rnacentral:rRNA from 1 species